rnacentral:rRNA from 1 species
UACGUAGGAGGCGAGCGUUGUCCGGAAUUACUGGGCGUAAAGAGCGCGUAGGCGGCACGGUACGACCGGUGUGAAAGCCCCCCGGCUCAACUGGGGGAGGGUCACCGGUAACGGUCGAGCUAUGAGUGCAGGAGAGGGAAGUGGAACUCCGGGAGUAGCGGUGAAAUGCGUAGAGAUCCGGAAGAACACCGGUGGCGAAGGCGGUUAGCUGGGCAGUUGCUGACACUGAGGCGCGACAGCGUGGGGAGCAAACAGG